UGACGCAGGAAGUCAAAUUUUGUCACCGCGCGCUCGCAUAGUUGCGCUGUUCGGCAUCUCUGGCUUGAGCACAAGGACCCAGCGGAACGCAACCGUGUGGCUCGGCUGUGACCUCGGCAAAGUCACGAGCAACACGGGCGCCUCGCGGUAAUGCGCGAGAGCUCCAUUUUCGUGUGAAGCGAGAGAAAUAUCAACGCGCUGAACUAUAUUUUCGUAAAGUUUGGCGUUUGGUUGUAAAGGGGGUGGAACAAUGACGUUCCCUUUCUUUACCCGUGUGGUCAGCGCCUUUGGCAGACAGUUGUGUGAUUUGACGAGGCAUGCUGCCAGCCCGUCCCCCGCUGGGUCCAGUGCCUACAGGUGUCUGUUCACCGUUGCCGGCAGCGCAACAUUCCCACGCCUCAUGUUUGGAAACGUGUUGCGGACUUUUCCGCAGCUCCCCAGGCCGUGUCAUUCGCCAGUCCUCGCUGUGCAGCCCGCCCUGGGGAUGAAGACGAAGACUGCGCUGAAAAGACGCUGCAAGGACUGCUUCUUUGUUCGCCGGAGGGGGCGCUUGUUCGUUUACUGCAAGACCAACCCGAGGCACAAGCAACGCCAGGGCUGACCUGGCAAUCUGAGGAAACCUGUGAACAUUUUGACAACGCACCACAGUUAUGAAUUUCAUCUGUCUCACAAUAAAAGCAAACCAAAAAGAA